CUUGAUCGACCCCAGCCACAGGGGUGUUCCGGGCUCCGCCCUAUCUUGUCCAUACGUCGCCAACAACGCCUGGGCCUC
rnacentral:antisense_RNA from 1 species